UACGGAGGGUGCAAGCGUUAAUCGGAAUUACUGGGCGUAAAGCGCGCGUGGGCGGCUAGAUAAGUCGGAUGUGAAAGCCCCGGGCUCAACCUGGGAACUGCAUACGAUACUGUCUGGCUAGAGUAUGAGAGAGGGAGGUAGAAUUCCACGUGUAGCGGUGAAAUGCGUAGAUAUGUGGAGGAAUACCGGUGGCGAAGGCGGCCUCCUGGCUUAAUACUGACGCUGAGGCACGAAAGCUGGGGGAGCGAACAGG
rnacentral:rRNA from 1 species